CAUUUGCAACCUUGUGACAAACUCUUGCAAGGACAAUUGCUUGUGGCGAAACGAGGUUGCAUAAAUUAAAAUAAGGAAGCUAAGGCGUGACUUCUCGAGGUUCAGGAGUUUCACGUGCGAUGUUCCUUGGACAGAUUCUCUACGGAGAACCCUGCUUUCCACGGCGGUGACGGAACCACAUGUAUCCUCACCUUUUCUUGAAGCAGGAAGAAAAAGCCAUUUGCGGUAACCAGACAUUGUUUGCAAGGGGAAGAUUUUCCUGUCAUGCGCUGUCGAGUUACCACAUUC